CCUACGGGUGGCAGCAGUGAGGAAUAUUGGUCAAUGGGCGAGAGCCUGAACCAGCCAAGUCGCGUGAAGGAUGACGGCCCUACGGGUUGUAAACUUCUUUUGUCAGGGAGCAAUUGAGUCCACGUGUGGGCUUAUCGAGAGUACCUGAAGAAAAAGCAUCGGCAAACUCCGUGCCAGCAGCCGCGGUAAUACGGGGGAUGCGAGUGUUAUCCGGAUUUAUUGGGUUUAAAGGUUGCGUAGGCGGAAUAUACAGUAUGCGGUAAAAAUUCGGGGCUCAACCCCGUCGUGCCGUUGAAACUGAUGUUCUUGAGUGGGCGAGAAGCAUGCGGAAUGCGUGGUGUAGCGGUGAAAUGCAUAGAUAUCACGCAGAACUCCGAUUGCGAAGGCAGCAUACCGGCGCCCAACUGACGCUGAAGCACGAAAGCGUGGGUAUCGAACAGGAUUAGAUACCCGGGUAGUC
rnacentral:rRNA from 1 species